UUUGUUUUCCCAGCACUUAAUUAAUUCUUUUUCGCACAAUAGUUUCUACACCGGAAACUAUUGUGUACCUUUCACCGGAUCUAACCUUACGUUAGAAUCUAGUUUUUAUUCCUUCGCUUUUAUUUUUCUGUUUGAUUGAAGAAUUCAAGAACAAAUCCAACCGGCCUGUGGUGGAGUGUUCAAGACUGCUAUUUAAUUUCUCAGGUUCUUUA
rnacentral:lncRNA from 1 species